rnacentral:hammerhead_ribozyme from 1 species
AUUCAGCUGACCAGUCCCAAAUAAGACGAAACGCGUGUUCUGUAU